rnacentral:hammerhead_ribozyme from 1 species
AUCCAGCUGACGAGUCCCAAAUUGGACGAAACGCGCGUUCUGGAU